rnacentral:rRNA from 1 species
AUUGAACGCUGGCGGCAGGCCUAACACAUGCAAGUCGAACGAGUGGCGGACUGGUGAGUAAUGUCUGGGAAACUGCCUGAUGGAGGGGGAUAACUACUGGAAACGGUAGCUAAUACCGCAUACCAUCAGAUGUUCCCAGGUGGGAUUAGCUAGUGGGGGGGGUAACGGCUCACCAAGGCGACGAUCCCUAGCUGGUCUGAUAGGAUGACCCGCCACACGAGAACUGAGAGACGGUCCAGACUCCUACGGGAGGCAGCAGUAGGGAAUAUUGCACAAUGGGCGCAAGCCUGAUGCAGCCAUGCCGCGUGAAUGAAGAAGGCCUUCGGGUUGUAAAGUCCUUUCAGCGGGGAGGCGUUACCCGCAGAAGAAGCACCGGCUAACUCCGUGCCAGCAGCCGCGGUAAUAC